rnacentral:rRNA from 1 species
UUGGAGGGCAAGUCUGGUGCCAGCAGCCGCGGUAAUUCCAGCUCCAAUAGCGUAUAUUAAAGUUGUUGCAGUUAAAAAGCUCGUAGUUGAACUUCGGAAUCAAUGGAUUGGUCAUGCCGUUGGUAUGUACUGGUCAUAUUGGUUCUCACCUUCUAAGGAACCAUAAUGUCAUUCAUUUGAUGUUUUGGGGAAUUAGGACUGUUACCUUGAAAAAAUUAGAGUGUUUAAAGCAGGCUAACGCUUGAAUACAUUAGCAUGGAAUAAUGAAAUAGGACAUCGCAUUCUAUUUUGUUGGUUUCUAGGAUCGAUGUAAUGAUUAAUAGGGAUAGUUGGGGGCAUUAGUAUUCAAUUGUCAGAGGUGAAAUUCUUAGAUUUAUUGAAGACUAACUACUGCGAAAGCAUUUGCCAAGGAUGUUUUCAUUAAUCAAGAACGAAAGUUAGGGGAUCGAAGACGAUCAGAUACCGUCGUAGUCUUAACCAUAAACUAUGCCGACUAGGGAUCGGAUGAUGUUGAUUUUUUAAUGACUCAUUCGGCGCCUUACGGGAAAC